UAUAUUAUCUAUGGUAAAAACUAAUGUUCCUUAUGAGGCAAAUGAGGCUUAUAAUUAGCUUGCAACUAUAGAAGAAGCAUAUGGAUAAUAAACAUACCAUCAACUUGGUCAGUUGGUAAUUGUUGAACGUCUACCAAACCAUAAAUCUCCAAUGCAUUGAGAAUAGGUGAAAGAGUUGAAUUCUCCAUGACAUUUAUCGAAAAUGACACAUUUUCAUGCACAGGAAAAAUAGGCUGAAUAGUAUGUGGUGACAAGUAGUUAUCAA
rnacentral:misc_RNA from 1 species